AUUGAACGCUGGCGGCAUGCCUUACACAUGCAAGUCGAACGGCAGCACGGAAGCAAUCCUGGUGGCGAGUGGCGAACGGGUGAGUAAAGUAUCGGAACGUGCCCAGUCGUGGGGGAUCACGUAGCGAAAGUUACGCUAAUACCGCAUACGAACUAUGGAUGAACGCGGGGGAUCGCAAGACCUCGCGCGAUUGGAGCGGCCGAUAUCAGAUUAGGUAGUUGGUGGGGUAAAGGCUCACCAAGCCGACGAUCUGUAGCUGGUCUGAGAGGACGACCAGCCACACUGGGACUGAGACACGGCCCAGACUCCUACGGGAGGCAGCAGUGGGGAAUUUUGGACAAUGGGCGCAAGCCUGAUCCAGCCAUGCCGCGUGCAGGAUGAAGGCCUUCGGGUUGUAAACUGCUUUUGUACGGAACGAAAAGGUUUGACUUAAUACGUUGGACUCAUGACGGUACCGUAAGAAUAAGCACCGGCUAACUACGUGCCAGCAGCCGCGGUAA
rnacentral:rRNA from 1 species